GUCUACAGCCAUGCCACCCUGAACAAGCUCGAUGUCUGAUCUCGGAAGCUAAGCAGGAUCGGGCCUGGUUAGUACUUGGAUGGGAGACCACUUAGGAAGACCAGGUGCUGCAGGCA
rnacentral:rRNA from 1 species